UACGUAGGGUGCGAGCGUUGUCCGGAAUUACUGGGCGUAAAGAGCUCGUAGGUGGUUUGUCGCGUUGUUCGUGAAAACCGGGGGCUUAACCCUCGGCGUGCGGGCGAUACGGGCAGACUUGAGUACUGCAGGGGAGACUGGAAUUCCUGGUGUAGCGGUGGAAUGCGCAGAUAUCAGGAGGAACACCGGUGGCGAAGGCGGGACUCUGGGCCGAUACUGACGCUGAGGAGCGAAAGCGUGGGGAGCAAACAGG
rnacentral:rRNA from 1 species